rnacentral:rRNA from 1 species
ACUGAAAAUCUUCGGAGUUGUGGUCUGGAGAAGUAAGGCAAAUGGUGGAAACCUUCGUAAAGUCGCAUGGAAAGGCGCGCCAAGGAGGGUGAGAGCCCCGUUCAUACGAAGGUAGAAGCCGGCGUCUGCUUCCAUGAGUCGAGUUGUUUGGGAUUGCAGCUCUAAUUGGGUGGUAAAUUCCAUCUAAAGCUAAAUAUGGGUAGGAGACCGAUAGCAAACAAGUACCGUGAGGGAAAGAUGAAAAGAACUUUGAAAAGAGAGUGAAAAAGUACCUGCAAUUGCUGAAAAGGAACCGAUGGGAAGUAGUGUGGGUGACAGUAGUUCUCUGCUGUUACCGGUCUCGCUUCCUUGGCGUCGUGGGAAAAGGCCUUAAAAACCUGUCAUGAUGCCGAGGGACUGAGACAAAAUGCUUCUCAUCAACCCGUCUUGAAACACGGACCAAGGAGUCUAACAUGUGUGCGAGUGUUCGGGAUCGAAUCCCCAGCGCGAAAUGAAAGUAAAGUCCCAUUAGGGAUGAGGUAGGAGGAGCAAUCCGCACUAUCGACCGACUAUGAUUCUUCGGAAGAAAGGUUUGAGUAUGAGCAUACAUGUUGGGACCCGAAAGAUGGUGAACUAUGCCUGAAUAGGACGAAGCCAGGGGAAACUCUGGUGGAGGUCCGUAGCGAUUCU